AAAAAAACGUUAUGUUGAUGGAAUUAAGUUCCUAUCGAAAAAAAUCCAAAACACCAAUGUAAUUUUAAACACUUUAUUAAAUGGCUCCGAAAGUAUUCAACGAUUUGAAAAACUAAAUCAUAAAACUAUUAUUUCAACGCAGAUGGGCUGUGCCAAAAGAUAAUAAAUUGUUUUUGACGCCAAUGGGUAAUUCCCACCAAAACUAUCUUCAUUGAAAAACGUUGGUUCUUGAUAUAAAAAAAAAAAAAUCAAUAUCGUUAUGAUUAAUUUUUGGUUGCAACGCGUAAAAGUUUUCAUUUUAAUUUUCAAUCAGAUCGUUUGAAAAUUCGAGCCAUUUAACUAAAGCUUAUGAAGUUAAGUUGAUUAAUUU